GGAAAAGCCUCUUGAACCCUAUCAUUAAGACUUUGGGUCAGACGGGAAAACUGGAGCAGAGAAGACAAAUCCAGCCUGAGCCAAGAGGCCUCUGCAUCGCUGGUCAGGAAAAAGCAACUGCUAGAUUUCUGGUUUGCCCCUCAGACCGUGGAGCUCCGGGUCACCAGCCUGAACCGCUUAAUGCACAUCACGCCUGGGUUUAGUUGGAAAUGGCUGAAGGCACUUAAAUGGAACUCCCAACCUUUGUCCUCAGCUUCCGAAACCACAG
rnacentral:lncRNA from 1 species